rnacentral:rRNA from 1 species
CCUACGGGUGGCAGCAGUGGGGGAUAUUGCACAAUGGGGGAAACCCUGAUGCAGCGACGCCGCGUGGGGGAAGAAGGGCCUCGGCGCGUAAAGCCCUGUCAGCAGGGAAGAAAAUGACGGUACCUGAGGAAGAAGCCCCGGCUAACUACGUGCCAGCAGCCGCGGUAAUACGUAGGGGGCAAGCGUUAUCCGGAUUUACUGGGUGUAAAGGGGGCGCAGACGGGGAUUCAAGCCAGUAGUGAAAGCCCGGGGCCCAACCCCGGGACUGCACUUGAAACUGCUUGGCUUGAGUGCAGGAGGGGCAGGCGGAAUUCCUGGUGUAGCGGUGAAAUGCGUAGAUAUCAGGAGGAACACCAGUGGCGAAGGCGGCUUGCUGGACUGCAACUGACGUUGAGGCACGAAAGCGUAGGGAGCAAACAGGAUUAGAUACCCGUGUAGUC